AGAUGGCCUUCGAGGAUGUGGCUGUGUACUUCUCCCAGGAGGAGUGGGGGCUCCUGGACACAGCCCAGAGGGCCCUGUACCGCCUGCAGAUGCUGGACAACUUUGCAAUUUGCAGCCUCGCUUGCAAGGACUCUCCACCUCUCGACCUCGUGGUCAUCCAACUUGAGCGUGGCGAGGAGCCCUGGGUUCCCAGCGGAACGGACACGAUCCUGUCCAGGAACACCUACAGGAGGCGAGAACUGGUGAGUGGGAGCUCAGGUUCCUGGAGUUUGGCAGAGUGAUGGAGAUGUUUCUGAGAAUGGCUACCUAGCUUCCCAGAUACUCCCAUCUGGGAUGACUACUGGAAGAUCUUCCCAGUUGUCGGUGCCACUACAGUGUAAAACCCAGCGACAACGGGGUGCCUCCUGAUCCAGGAGAGAGUGUCCCACAGGGGUGUCGGUGGAUCUACUGGGGAGAGACUCUGCUAGGCUCGGGUAGUGGGCAAGCCAGUGUCAGCCUGCGACUGACCUCCCCGCUUAGGCCUCCUUUAGGCGGCCAGCUUAGGGAAAAGACCCUCACAGAGCACCCGGUGCCUGGGAGGCAGCCCAGGACCCCCUGAGCGGCAGCUAUGUGCACAGGAGGUCCCUGGGAGAGCUCUUCUGGAAUGCCCCGGAUCUGCAGGCGCCAGCGGUCGUGGGGCACUGUGGAAUGGGUCCGACUUGGCAGGAGCCUCAGAGACCUCGGUGGCCAGGAGCCCCCGACCUGGGAUGAGCUGGGCGAGGCCUCUCGCUGGGGAGAAGUCCUUCGAAUGCAGAGCGUGCAAAGUGUCUUGGAAGAGCUCCGACCUCCCUACACCUACGCACCCACACCGGGAGCGGCCCUACGAGUGCGCCUAGUGCGGCAAGGCCUUCAGCCAGACGCCGCACCUGACGAGCACCAGCGCAUCCACAGCGGCGACGCUCUACGCCUGCCCCGCAGCGUGGGCGCCUCCCGGCACAGCUCCUCACUGGUGCGCACCGCGCAUCCACACGGCCGGUAGUCCUUCAGCUGCUCCGAAAGGGCAAGGCCUUCAGCCACGGCUCCAACCUCAGCCAGCACCGCAAGAUCCAUGCGGGCGGGCGUCCCUAUGCCUGCGCACAGUGUGGCCGCCGCUUCUGCCGCAACUCGCACCUGAUCCAGCACGAGCGUACGCACACGGGCGAGAAACCCUUCGUGUGCGCGCUCUGUGGUGCCGCCUUCAGCCAGGGCUCCUCGCUCUUUAAGCACCAGCGCGUGCACACAGGUGAGAAGCCCUUCGCCUGCCCACAGUGCGGCCGCGCCUUUAGCCACAGCUCCAACCUCACCCAGCACCAGCUCCUGCACACGGGCGAGCGGCCCUUCCGCUGUGGGGACUGUGGCAAGGCCUUCGCCAAGGGCGCUGUGCUGCUGAGCCACCGGCGCAUUCACACGGGCGAGAAGCCCUUCGUGUGCACGCAGUGUGGCCGCGCCUUCCGCGAGCGCCCGGCCCUCUUCCACCACCAGAGAAUCCAUACCGGCGAGAAGCCCGUCCGGCGAUCCAGGGCCGGCUUGCACCCCCAGGCCAGGUCUGUUUCCGCGACAGCAUCAGAAGGUGCGCCAGGGAAGGAAACCGAGCCCACUCCCGCCUCGGGCCCAGCCGCAGUCUCGGAGCCAGGGGAGGUCUGAGGUCACAGGUUGCAGCCCUGGCCUUGUGUGAAUCCCGUCCACAGCUAAAGGGCAUAUGUCCUCUGCAGAUCCACAGCAGAGAAAAAGCCCCGUGCUUGCUAGUCAGGGCUUUGGCUGUGAUUUCAUUUGCACUUGGGGACAGGAUUUGCCAGUUCACCCACAGAUCACACCUCCAUCCCCAAAGAGGUAACACUGCAGAAGCGUCAUGGGGAGGAUGUGGUGGCUGAACUCUAGUGGGGCCGAUACUAUUCAGAGCCAUUAGGAGGCGGACAGUCACAUCACUGCACUGUGGUGCUGCUUCAUGUGUUGACAGUGGGUGCUAAGGUGAGGGGGAUGUGGGCAUGGGUUGGGGGUGGCCUAGAGAGACUUAUGACAGCUGCACACAAACUGGCCGCUGGAUAGAUGCCCACUGAGGGUAUUCUCAACCCACCACUGCCUCUGUUCAUCCAAGGCUUCCUAGAGGCCAGUCUAGCAGACAAGAGACCACAAGGGACUGGGGAUCAGGGUGUGGGCUCUCAGUGUCAGCCACCUCCUCUGGGAAAAAAAAGGUUUGGGUCCACUGAACAUCAUGUUUGCAGACGCUGACAGGUGGGGUCCUAAUGAGAGCCAACACGUGCUCACUGCCAGCUCCUGUCCUGAGUGCUGGGAAAUUUCUCCUGAAGCCCUGUGAGAUGGCUGCUGUGGCUGGUAUCCUGACUUGGAAGAUGAGGAAACUGAGACACAAAGGGGAAGGUGAGUUUCCCAUGGCACACAGUGGAGUCGGUACCCAAGUCCGGGUGGACUGAUCCAGCAUCCAGAUGCCUCAUCUCCUGGGCUGCACUCUGGUUGGUCAGGUAUGAGGGCCUGGCCUGGCUUCACACACAUAGCCGACUCAGGAGAGGGAUGCCCAUGGGGGAACAUGUGACUCUCAGCUUUGGAAGGACAGAGCUAGGAUGAUGGCUUUCCAGUGGCACAUGUUCAGGUGUUCACCCAAGUCUCAGCUUGGCCAAGGCCUGUCACUGACUCGUUUACCAAAGUCGAUGUGAUGAGGAGCCUUUACACCUGAGGGGGAUGAUGUUAACUUCAGACAAGAUGGAGCUGCUCAUUUUUGCUGGGUGUGGUGGCCACUUCCCCCCCAACCCCUGUCUCACCUUACCCCUGUUAUCCCUCCUUAUUUGGAGGCUGGACAGACAGCUGAAUAGGAAGGACUUGCUAUUACCUAAGGCCAUGUGUGACACCCUCCUGACCCACCCUCCCCACCCCAGUGUAAUGUCCCUGCAUGGCCAGGACAGGAGGGUGGACUGGGGGCCAUUUGCUUCCUGUGGCCUUCAGCAGACCAGGCCGUGUCCCUACCUGGAGCCUCACCUCCAAGCAAAUUCAUGUUCUCUUUAAUGGAAAAAAAAAAAAAAAAAAACCCCGACUAGCUUCUGCAACUCGGAAUAGGUGUUGCAGUUUCCUGUACUGCAGUUGGGGCCUCUUGUCCCUACUCCAGAGCAUGGUUCAGUUUUUAAUAACAGUUCAAAGAGCUUCUCUGAUAAAGGUUUCUUUUUAAA